UUGCCUGUUUUACUGCCUACCCCACCUAUGGGAGGGGCCCUGUGGCCGUCCCCAGUCAAGGCAAUCCCAGUGUUCAAGGACUUAAAUAUUCAGAGAAGUUUUAGAUUUACAACCAAAGCAAGAGGAAGGUCCAGAGAUCUGUUAGAGCUUCCUGGCUGCCAUCAUUUUCCAUUCUGCCCUUUCCUCAUCGUUCAGAGUUAGAUAACACACAGAAAUUUUAAUGGCCUUAAUGAUCACUAAUAUGUUUUCCUCUGGGCUUCUGAAAGAGAAGGAAACUGAUGCUCUUUUGGAAGACCAUUAAUGCCCUGGUCACACGUGAAAAUUACUCCUCAUCCAUUUCAUCGCUGAAGCUGCUCUUCGAGAAGCCUGUCGCUUUGUUCAUUUUGGUCUGGGAGCCUCCAGGGCAGCCAGAGAGAUGUGGUUCUUCAGAAGAAACUGUUCUUUUCAUAAAGGCUUGUCAUUGUUUUUCUUCUCAUUAUAGAUGCAUGUUCAUGGGGUAGGAGUGGGGACAGAAAAUGAAAUAAAAUUACAGAGUUGGUUAAUGUUAGUUUAUCUGAAUAUUUUUGUUGCAUAUACCUAUUUACAUCUGCUACAGACAGAUGCAUACACAUGACUAUUGUGCAUAUAUUCUUAAAAAUCCAGAUCAAACCAUGGAUCUAACUUUUUUCCCAUCUAUUUUUAUGCAGUAAGGAUGUUCUGUUUCAAAAACCUUACUUUUUUUUAAUGGCUGCAUACUUUCGAGUUUAUUGCUAAACCAUACCUAAAUGUCUAACACUGAAAGAAUAUUUAA